rnacentral:rRNA from 1 species
AUACGGAGGGUGCAAGCGUUACUCGGAAUCACUGGGCGUAAAGCGCGCGCAGGCGGCUAUUUAAGUUGGAUGUGAAAGCCUAUGGCUCAACCAUAGAACUGCAUCCAAAACUAUUUAGCUAGAGUGUGGGAGAGGAAGAUGGAAUUAGUUGUGUAGGGGUAAAAUCCGUAGAGAUAACUAGGAAUACCAAAAGCGAAGGCAAUCUUCUGGAACACUACUGACGCUGCGGUGCGAAAGCGUGGGGAGCAAACAGGAUUAGAAACCCUAGUAGUCC